rnacentral:lncRNA from 1 species
UCUUGCCCAAAGUUUCCCAGCUGGUGAGUGAUGGAGCAAGUGUUCGAAUCCAGGGAGUGUGACCCCAGAGCCCAUGUGUUUACCUUCUGCUUCUGAGUCAACUGAGCAGUAACUUCAAGGAGACCCACCUUCUGGGUCAUGAAGCUGGGGAGAGCGAGUGAAAAAGAGAGGAGGAAGGAUGGUCUGGCCCGGAAGAGAGGCCUUAUGGACAGACGGGGAGGUCAGUGAGCAGGGCCUGCCUCCGGCCUUUAAAGGCCCAAACAUCAUCAGACAUCCAUCUUUGAAGCAAGAUUGCAGUGCUGGGCUUGGAAAGACUGACCCUGGGAUUUUUAUAGCUGAAAUCAGCCCAGCCCAGCUCAGCCCAUGAACUAAACUACAGGCAGCAGGACAGAAGAUGGAAGAACACAGGCUGCAGUCAGAGGCCUCUGUGUCCAAAGGCCAGCUCUGCCACAAGUGACCCAGCCUCUCUAAAUGUCAAU